rnacentral:rRNA from 1 species
GUAAGCAGCCAUAUCACCCUGCAGCUCCCAGCUAGCAGCCCCACUGAAGCUCAGCAGGUGUGAGCCUGGCCAGUACCUGGAUGGGAGACCUCCUGGGAAAAACUAAGGCUGCUGCUGGAA